AUGGCCUGGACUCCUCUGCUCCUCGCGCUCCUCUCCCACUGCACAGGUUCCCUCUCCCAGCCUGUGCUGACUCAGCCGCCCUCCCUGUCUGCAUCUCUGGGAUCCACAGCCAGACUCACCUGCACCGUGAGCAGUGGCCUCAGUGUUGGCGGCUACUACAUAUCCUGGUACCAGCAGAACCCAGGGAACCCUCCCCAGUACCUCCUAGAAUAUAAAUCAGACUCAGAGAAGCACCAGGGCUCCGGGGUCCCCAACCGCUUCUCUGGAUCCAAAGAUGCCUUGGCCAAUGCGGGGCUCCUGACCAUCUCGGGGCUGCAGCCUGAGGAUGAGGCUGACUAUUACUGUACUGUACACCAUAGAGGAGCUCACAGUGAUUCAGAUGAUGAGGAACUGAGACCAAAACUCCUGGGCCCAGAGGUGAUGACGGGGGCGCUGUGGUAG